rnacentral:rRNA from 1 species
CUGGGCGGCGUGCCUAAUACAUGCAAGUCGAACGGUCUUUCUAUGGAAGCUUGCUUCCACUGAGAAGAUAGUGGCGAACGGGUGAGUAACACGUGGGUAACCUGCCCAUAAGAGGGGGAUAACAUCCGGAAACAGGUGCUAAUACCGCAUAGUUUUCUUGAUCGCAUGAUCGGGAAAGGAAAGACGGCCUUUGUGCUGUCGCUUAUGGAUGGACCCGCGGCGUAUUAGUUAGUUGGUGAGGUAACGGCUCACCAAGACGAUGAUACGUAGCCGACCUGAGAGGGUGAUCGGCCACAUUGGGACUGAGACACGGCCCAAACUCCUACGGGAGGCAGCAGUAGGGAAUCUUCCGCAAUGGACGAAAGUCUGACGGAGCAACGCCGCGUGAGUGAAGAAAGGGUUUUCGGAUCGUAAAACUCUGUUGUCAGAGAAGAACAAGUUGGAGAGUAACUGCUCCAGCCUUGACGGUAUCUGACCAGAAAGCCACGGCUAACUACGUGCCAGCCGCCGC